CCUACGGGCGGCAGCAGUGAGGAAUAUUGGUAAAUGGGCGCGAGCCUGAACCAGCCAAGUAGCGUGAAGGAUGACUGCCCUACGGGUUGUAAACUUCUUUUAUAAAGGAAUAAAGUGAGGCACGUGUGCCGGUUUGUAUGUACGUGAUGAAGAAGGAUCGGCUAACUCAGUGCCAGCAGCCGCGGUAAUACGGAGGAUCCGAGCGUUAUCCGGAUUUAUUGGGUUUAAAGGGUGCGUAGGCGGAAUGCCAAGUCAGCGGUAAAAUCGCGAGGCUCAACCUCUCUCCGCCGUUGAAACUGGCGUUCUUGAGUGGGCGAGAAGUAUGCGGAAUGCGUGGUGUAGCGGUGAAAUGCAUAGAUAUCACGCAGAACUCCGAUUGCGAAGGCAGCAUACCAGCGCCCACCUGACGCUGAAGCACGAAAGCGUGGGUAUCGAACAGGAUUAGAUACCCCAGUAGUC
rnacentral:rRNA from 1 species